rnacentral:rRNA from 1 species
GAUGAACGCUGGCGGCGUGCCUAAUACAUGCAAGUCGAGCGAACAGACGAGGAGCUUGCUCCUCUGACGUUAGCGGCGGACGGGUGAGUAACACGUGGAUAACCUACCUAUAAGACUGGGAUAACUUCGGGAAACCGGAGCUAAUACCGGAUAAUAUAUUGAACCGCGUGGUUCAAUAGUGAAAGACGGUUUUGCUGUCACUUAUAGAUGGAUCCGCGCCGCAUUAGCUAGUUGGUAAGGUAACGGCUUACCAAGGCAACGAUGCGUAGCCGACCUGAGAGGGUGAUCGGCCACACUGGAACUGAGACACGGUCCAGACUCCUACGGGAGGCAGCAGUAGGGAAUCCUCCGCAAUGGGCGAAAGCUUGACGGAGCAACGCCGCGUGAGUGAUGAAGGUCUUCGGAUCGUAAAACUCUGUUAUUAGGGAAGAACAAAUGUGUAAGUAACUAUGCACGUCUUGACGGUACCUAAUCAGAAAGCCACGGCUAACUACGUG